rnacentral:rRNA from 1 species
GAUGAACGCUGGCGGCGUGCCUAAUACAUGCAAGUAGAACGCUGAAGGAAGGAGCUUGCUCUUUCCGGAUGAGUUGCGAACGGGUGAGUAACGCGUAGGUAACCUGCCUGGUAGCGGGGGAUAACUAUUGGAAACGAUAGCUAAUACCGCAUAACAGUAGAUGUUGCAUGACAACUAUUUGAAAGGGGCAAUUGCUCCACUACCAGAUGGACCUGCGUUGUAUUAGCUAGUUGGUGAGGUAACGGCUCACCAAGGCGACGAUACAUAGCCGACCUGAGAGGGUGAUCGGCCACACUUGGACUGGGACACGGCCCAGACUCCUACGGGAGGCAGCAGUAGGGAAUCUUCGGCAAUAGACGGAAGUCUGACCGAGCAACGCCGCGUGAGUGAAGAAGGGUUUCGGAUCGUAAAGCUCUGUUGUAAGAGAAGAACGAGUGUGAGAGUGGAAAGUUCACACUGUGACGGUAUCUUACCAGAAAGGGACGGCUAACUACGUG